rnacentral:rRNA from 1 species
UACAGAGGUCUCAAGCGUUGUUCGGAUUCAUUGGGCGUAAAGGGUGCGUAGGUGGCGUGGUAAGUCGGAUGUGAAAUCCCGGGGCUCAACCCCGGAACUGCAUUCGAUACUGCCAUGCUAGAGUACUGGAGAGGAGAUUGGAAUUUACGGUGUAGCAGGUGAAAUGCGUAGAUAUCGUAAGGAAGACCAGUGGCGAAGGCGGAUCUCUGGACAGUUACUGACACUGAGGCACGAAGGCCAGGGGAGCGAAACGGG